rnacentral:rRNA from 1 species
GGUUUUUUCCCCCCCCCRAUUAGAAMWUUUUYUGRARAARAAARAUGAUCGAUCAUAACAACACGYSMWACGAUGGUAACACACACUGUACCCCCCGGCUUCCCCCGCUCGCGGGGGUCCGGGGUGCGAAAAAACCCUCACACAACCGCUAAAACUUUCAAGUAACCAAACAUCAAUAAGCCGUGCCCGGACAACUGCCCCCUGUGGCAGCGGGUCGCGCAACUUAACCACAAGAAAUAACCCCUAACAACGGAUGUCUUGGCUCUCGCAACGAUGAAGAACGCAGCGAAAUGCGAUAUGUAGUGUGAAUUGCAGAAUUACGUGAAUCAUCGAAUCUUUGAACGCAUAUGGCACCCGAGACCUCGGUCAAGGGUAUGCCUGCCUCAGAGUCGACGUAAACAAUUACCCCCCCCGUGGAGGUACACGUGCCUCCGCGCGCCGGGUGAACUGGCACUCCCGCGCCCAGCCGCGCGGGUCCGCCGAAGGACAGACACGGAGCAGGCCCCGACCUCGGCGUCGUCGGUGCGCGCGAUUUGGUGGGAGGAUCGCCCGGGCUCUCGAGCCGCAGGGUCGCUUGUCCGAAUCAUCGUCGCGUGUCUCACACCGUCACGGCACAUGGCCCGGUCCGGUCGUUCCGCAUUGCAGGAAAGCGCGGGAGAGCGGGUUCACACCCCUCGACCGCCCUCACAUCCGACCUGAGUUCAGGCAAGAUCACCCGCUGAACUUAAGCAUAUCAAUAAGCGGAGGAAARRAMWCUARCCAGGAUUCCCCUAGAGC